rnacentral:rRNA from 1 species
ACUCCUACGGGAGGCAGCAGUGGGGAAUAUUGGACAAUGGGCGAAAGCCUGAUCCAGCCAUGCCGCGUGUGUGAAGAAGGCCUUCGGGUUGUAAAGCACUUUCAGUGAGGAAGAAAGCCUUGAGGUUAAUACCCUCGAGGGAGGACAUCACUCACAGAAGAAGCACCGGCUAACUCCGUGCCAGCAGCCGCGGUAA